CUUAAAAACCAAAUUUCAAGAAAAAACAUCAAUCCCCCAAAGCGGAUUAAUCAAAUGAACGGGAAAUCAUGAAAUUUCUUGGCAACAAAUAUAAUUUCACAUAUCCCCGAAACCAAAAAAAUUGCAGAACAGGUCUUGGCAUCUAAUCCAAAGCCUAUAUCAUGGACAAGAACGGAGCUUGCAAAGCACCAACAAAUUCAUUCCUUACAAGAGAUGAAAAAAACCCAAAACCAAACCAUAUUAGAAGAAAACAUGGAAUACCAUAUAAGCUUCAGACAAAGGCCAAAUGAACCUGUAUAAUCG